CAGGAUGAUCAUCCAGGAGGAGGGGAGUGGCCAGGACGGUGGAGAAAGGCAGCUGGGACUGAACUCAAGGGAUGUGGCAUCGCAGUGCACUGGCUGAAAUAUGCAGCACAAUGUUGAACAGAAGCGAGGUUAAACGACUCGGCCCCAGGCCCAUGGAAGUUCAC